rnacentral:hammerhead_ribozyme from 1 species
GCACUACUGGGGAGUCCCACAAUAGGACGAGACGGCCGUCUAGUGC